GACGAACGCUGGCGGCGUGCUUAACACAUGCAAGUCGAACGGAAAGGCCCUUCGGGGUACUCGAGUGGCGAACGGGUGCGUAACGCGUGGGUGAUCUGCCCUGCACUUUGGGAUAAGCCUGGGAAACUGGGUCUAAUACCGAAUAGGACCACGCGCUUCAUGGUGUGUGGUGGAAAGCUUUUGCGGUGUGGGAUGGGCCCGCGGCCUAUCAGCUUGUUGGUGGGGUAAUGGCCUACCAAGGCGACGACGGGUAGCCGGCCUGAGAGGGUGACCGGCCACACUGGGACUGAGAUACGGCCCAGACUCCUACGGGAGGCAGCAGUGGGGAAUAUUGCACAAUGGGCGCAAGCCUGAUGCAGCGACGCCGCGUGAGGGAUGACGGCCUUCGGGUUGUAAACCUCUUUCAAUAGGGACGAAGCGCAAGUGACGGUACCUAUAGAAGAAGCACCGGCCAACUACGUG
rnacentral:rRNA from 1 species